rnacentral:rRNA from 1 species
GACAGAGGGGGCAAGCGUUGCUCGGAAUCACUGGGCGUAAAGGGCGCGUAGGCGGGUCCGCAAGUCGAUCGUGAAAUCCUUCGGCUCAACUGAAGGGGGUCGGUCGAUACUGCGGGUCUUGAGGGAUGCAGAGGAGACUGGAAUUCCCGGUGUAGCGGUGAAAUGUGUAGAGAUCGGGAGGAACACCGGUGGCGAAGGCGGGUCUCUGGACCAAUACUGACGCUCAUGUGCGAAAGCGUGGGGAGCAAACAGG